UACGAAGGGGGCUAGCGUUGCUCGGAAUCACUGGGCGUAAAGGGUGCGUAGGCGGGUCUUUAAGUCAAGGGUGAAAUCCUGGAGCUCAACUCCAGAACUGCCUUUGAUACUGAAGAUCUUGAGUUCGGGAGAGGUGAGUGGAACUGCGAGUGUAGAGGUGAAAUUCGUAGAUAUUCGCAAGAACACCAGUGGCGAAGGCGGCUCACUGGCCCGAUACUGACGCUGAGGUGCGAAAGCGUGGGGAGCAAACAGG
rnacentral:rRNA from 1 species